rnacentral:rRNA from 1 species
GACGAACGCUGGCGGCGUGCUUAACACAUGCAAGUCGAACGAAGUGGCGCACGGGUGAGUAACGCGUAAUCAACCUGCCCUUCAGCGGGGGACAACAGUUGGAAACGACUGCUAAUACCGCAUACUGAAGGAGGGGACUGCGUUUGUGUUGCUAGUUGGGGGGGAAACGGACCACCAAGGCGAUGAUCAGUAGCCGGUCUUGUAGGGUUAACGGCCGCAUAGGGACUGCGACACGGCCCAGACUCCGACGGGAGGCAGCAGGGGGGAAUCUUCCGCAAUGGACGAAAGUCUGACGGAGCAACACCGCGUGAGUGAUGACGACCUUCGGGUUGUAAAGCUCUGUUAAUCGGGACGCGGUACCUGAAUAGAAAGCCACGGCUAACUACGUGCCAGCCGCCGCGGUAAUAC